GUGGGGAAUAUUGGACAAUGGGGGGAACCCUGAUCCAGCCAUGCCGCGUGUGUGAAGAAGGCCUUUUGGUUGUAAAGCACUUUAAGCGAGGAGGAGGCUACCGAGAUUAAUACUCUUGGAUAGUGGACGUUACUCGCAGAAUAAGCACCGGCUAACUCUGUGCCAGCAGCCGCGGUAAUACAGAGGGUGCAAGCGUUAAUCGGAUUUACUGGGCGUAAAGCGCGCGUAGGUGGCCAAUUAAGUCAAAUGUGAAAUCCCCGAGCUGAACUUGGGAAUUGCAUUCGAUACUGGUUGGCUAGAGUAUGGGAGAGGAUGGUAGAAUUCCAGGUGUAGCGGUGAAAUGCGUAGAGAUCUGGAGGAAUACCGAUGGCGAAGGCAGCCAUCUGGCCUAAUACUGACACUGAGGUGCGAAAGCAUGGGGAGCAAACAGGAUUAGAUACCCGUGUAGUCC
rnacentral:rRNA from 1 species